rnacentral:rRNA from 1 species
AGUGAACGCUGGCGGUAGGCCUAACACAUGCAAGUCGAACGGCAGCACAGGAGAGCUUGCUCUCUGGGUGGCGAGUGGCGGACGGGUGAGGAAUACAUCGGAAUCUACUUUUUCGUGGGGGAUAACGUAGGGAAACUUUCGCUAAUACCGCAUACGACCUACGGGUGAAAGCAGGGGACCUUCGGGCCUUGCGCGAUUGAAUGAGCCGAUGUCGGAUUAGCUAGUUGGCGGGGUAAAGGCCCACCAAGGCGACGAUCCGUAGCUGGUCUGAGAGGAUGAUCAGCCACACUGGAACUGAGACACGGUCCAGACUCCUACGGGAGGCAGCAGUGGGGAAUAUUGGACAAUGGGCGCAAGCCUGAUCCAGCCAUACCGCGUGGGUGAAGAAGGCCUUCGGGUUGUAAAGCCCUUUUGUUGGGAAAGAAAUCCAGCUGGCUAAUACCCGGUUGGGAUGACGGUACCCAAAGAAUAAACACCGGCUAACUUCGUGACAGCCGCCGCCGUAA